GAUGAACGCUAGCUACAGGCUUAACACAUGCAAGUCGAGGGGAAACGGCAUUGAGUGCUUGCACUCUUUGGACGUCGACCGGCGCACGGGUGAGUAACGCGUAUCCAACCUUCCCAUUACUGUGGGAUAACCUGCCGAAAGGCAGACUAAUACCGCAUAGUCUUCGAUGACGGCAUCAGAUUUGAAGUAAAGAUUUAUCGGUAAUGGAUGGGGAUGCGUCUGAUUAGCUUGUUGGCGGGGUAACGGCCCACCAAGGCGACGAUCAGUAGGGGUUCUGAGAGGAAGGUCCCCCACAUUGGAACUGAGACACGGUCCAAACUCCUACGGGAGGCAGCAGUGAGGAAUAUUGGUCAAUGGACGGAAGUCUGAACCAGCCAAGUAGCGUGCAGGAUGACGGCCCUAUGGGUUGUAAACUGCUUUUGUAUGGGGAUAAAGUUAGGGACGUGUCCCUAUUUGCAGGUACCAUACGAAUAAGAACCGGCUAAUUCCGUG
rnacentral:rRNA from 1 species